rnacentral:rRNA from 1 species
GACGUAGGGCGCGAGCGUUGUCCGGAUUUAUUGGGCGUAAAGAGCUCGUAGGCGGCUUGUCGCGUCGACCGUGAAAACUUGGGGCUCAACCCCAAGCCUGCGGUCGAUACGGGCAGGCUAGAGUUCGGUAGGGGAGACUGGAAUUCCUGGUGUAGCGGUGAAAUGCGCAGAUAUCAGGAGGAACACCGGUGGCGAAGGCGGGUCUCUGGGCCACUACUGACGCUGAGAAGCGAAAGCAUGGGGAGCGAACAGG